AGGCCAGUAGUACUUUGGUUUAGCAUUUUCUCUUAUUUAAUCUAGUAGUUGUGAUAGAGACCUAAAAUUAGAGUGGGCUUACUGUUAGUGGGCUUAGUGUUAGUGGGCUUAUAGCCUAUAAAUAAGGGAUUACUAGGAGAGUUUAAGCAUCUUUUGGGAUCAUUAGGUAAUUGGGACUUGGGAGAGAGUAGAGCCUCUCGAAUGCUCUACAACUUUUGUAAUCUUCCUUCUAAUUCCUAAUUGGGAAUUAGGUUCACUAUCAAUAUUAUCCUUUUCAGUUCUUCUGAUUUUCUGGGUCCUAACAUUUGAUAGAGACCUAAAAUUAGAGUGGGCUUACUGUUAGUGGGCUUAGUGUUAGUGGGCUUAUAGCCUAUAAAUAAGGGAUUACUAGGAGAGUUUAAGCAUCUUUUGGGAUCAUUAGGUAAUUGGGACUUGGGAGAGAGUAGAGCCUCUCGAAUGC
rnacentral:lncRNA from 1 species